UACGGGGGGGGCAAGCGUGGUUCGGAAUUACUGGGCGUAAAGGGCUCGUAGGCGGCCAACUAAGUCAGACGUGAAAUCCCCAGGCUUAACCUGGGAACUGCGUCUGAUACUGGAUGGCUUGAAUUCGGGAGAGGGAUGCAGAAUUCCAGGUGUAGCGGUGAAAUGCGUAGAUAUCUGGAGGAAUACCGGUGGCGAAGGCGGCAUCCUGGACCGAGAUUGACGCUGAUGAGCGAAAGCUAGGGGAGCAAACGGG
rnacentral:rRNA from 1 species